CAAAUCCUAUUCGUGACGUGACACUUCUGAAGAUUUCCUCCAGAGACCGGCCCAGGCCACAUGGCCACAAUGCUAAAUUCAGCAUUAUUUACAAAAAAAAAACUGGAACCGAUAUGAAUGUCUUCCCAUGAGGGAACGGUUAGGUAAAUUGCCACGGACUAUACAACGACACUGGGCAGUCAUUAAACUUCGUAUUUCUAUGUGGUCAUCUUGAGCUGAAUUCAAGCAACUUUCAAGAUCAAAACAAUUGCAUUCUAUGGGAUGAGGGAAAACUGGUUUUCCAGGUAGGUGACCCACAUAGAAGUCUGCACUGCUGCUCUUUCUCAAGGACAGAAGAGAAACAGAUGAGGCCACUUUCAGCCCUUCCAGCAUCAUCUGUCCUGUCUGGGAAGUCAAUGUGUGCAUCAACACUCAGGUACUUCAUCAAAGAAGAUAUAUGUAUGGCAAAUAAGCACAUGGAAGAUGUUCGGCAUCCCUGGUCAUUGGGGAAAUGCACUUUAAAACCACAAUGAGCUGCCACCACAUACCUAGUAGAAUGAGGGAGAGGGGAUGACAAUACCAAAGACUUCAGAGGAGACAGAACAACUAGGACACUCAUGCAUUGACAUGGGGAGUAUGGAAAAGUACAGCUACUUUAGAUAACAGUUUGGCAGGUCUUAUAAAAUUAGAC
rnacentral:lncRNA from 1 species